rnacentral:rRNA from 1 species
UACGGAGGGUGCAAGCGUUAUCCGGAUUUACUGGGUUUAAAGGGUGUGUAGGCGGGCUUUUAAGUCAGUGGUGAAAUCUCCGGGCUCAACCUGGAAACUGCCAUUGAUACUAUUAGUCUUGAAUUUUGUUGAGGCAGGCGGAAUGAAGUCAUGUAGCGGUGAAAUGCAUAGAUAUGACAUAGAACACCAAUUGCGAAGGCAGCUUACUACCCGAAUAUUGACACUGAGGCACGAAAGCGUGGGGAUCAAACAGGA